AUGCUCUUUGUAGAAUGCACCAGAGUAACCAUGACAAUGUCUGUAAUCUGUCACCAGAGGAGUGGAAUGGACUCAGAAAGUCCUGCCAGAAUUCUUUGCUCCUCCUCACCCCGCGGCUCUGCUUUGUGUAAAUCCUGCUUCUUAUAUUCCCAGGGAAACGCCAAUGGAAUUAAGCCCCAUAGAUGUAAAAAGAGGUAUAUAGAGAAGAGCAAACUUCUAUCCGGGGCUCACGAGGUGACACGAGUUCCUUUUAAGCCGCCAGCAUUAAUGCCUAUUUUGUGUGUCAGAGUGUUCUAUCCAGUGUUCCUGAAAGACGAAGCAAUCUGGAAGGUGUGAGGUCCGUUUCCUGUUCCUGAGACUAUGGAGAUCACAGAAGGUGGCAGUCGCUCCAGCAGCCGACGACUUGGAUAGACACGAAAUGAAGACAGCCUGGGAAAAAAAAUCCCCGGGCAGCUCUGCAGUCAUCUCUGGGAGUGCGCGAAGAGCCCGGAAGGGGAGGAGACUGCCGCUGGCGCGCCUUGGGCCCGCCUCCAAGUGUUGGCUCUGUCGCUGGGCAACGGAACUUGAUGCAAAGUGUUAUAAAUUACAGCAUUUCUUUUACUUUAAAAAAAUCACUAUUUGGGGCCGGGGAUUUAGCUCAGUGGUUCUGGGGCCUUCUUCGCAAGCGCAAGGUCGUGAGUUCGAUCCCUGGAACCAAAAAAUAAAAAAAAAUUUUUAAAAAUCACUAUUUAAUGAAACGAUUUCUUCUGUCAAAGUUGGGGUCUACCCUUUCCAAAAUCUGUACCUCUUUCCGAAGUACGUGAAGCGCGCACUUGAAAGUGUAACCGCUUGGUCCCGUAGAAGCAUCUUUUCUCAAGUCAGUUUCUGUUGGAAGCUUUCUGAUCACACUUCAGCACAAAAUUUCUUAUCUAACAGUACUGGGUAAUCAUGCACACUAGAGUAUUUCUUACAAUAUAAUCAUAGCACGUAACAUGCGUCUGAAAUAUAACUCUUGGCGGGCGUGGCGGAGCACAUCUGUCACCCCAGCACUCGGAAGGUUGAGGCAGGAGCAUCGCUGCGAUUUUGAGGCCAGUCUGGGCUAGACAGUGAAUUCAAGGCCAGUUUGAACUACAUAGUGAGACCUUGUCUCAAAAAAAAAAAAAAAGAAAGAAAAAAAAGAAAAAAUCGUCUUUUUGGAGAAAAGACUAUUUUGCAUAAUGUUUUAUUUCUUUCAACUUACGAUCUCAUUCAGAACUUCUCUCUUCCAAACUCCAAUAGGUAUCAAAGGAUAGUUGAUAGAGGCCACUAAAAUUUACUUCUCAGUGGAACAAAAGCAGUAUAUUUUCAAGAAACUUUUCUUUUAUCUAUUUUUAGAUGC
rnacentral:lncRNA from 1 species